UACGUAGGGGGCGAGCGUUGUCCGGCUUUAUUGGGCGUAAAGGGUGCGCAGGCGGCCAUGUAAGUCAGGUGUGCACUUCUAUAGCUUAACUAUAGUAAGCACUUGAAACUGUGUGGCUUGAGUUAAGGAGAGGAAAGUGGAAUUCCUAGUGUAGCGGUGAAAUGCGUAGAUAGUAGGAGGAAUACCAGUGGCGAAGGCGACUUUCUGGACUUAUACUGACGCUGAGGUACGAAAGCGUGGGGAGCAAACAGG
rnacentral:rRNA from 1 species